GAUGGAAGAAGGGGGGACUUGAAUUUAGAAUCCUCAAAUAAAUCUCUUUUUGUAUGGGUUUGUUAUCAUUUUCUGGAAGCUAAUUCUUUCUUUGUAGAUAAUUUCUUUUAAUAGGCUAUUUAUGUUUGGAUAUCUUUAAGUGUUUUAGAUGUUUAAUGUUGUUGUUGAUCAAGUUUCCCCUUGUGUAUGUGUAGGGCUAGUCCAUGCAUGUAUAUAACCUCCUUGUGUGACAUUUAGAAGAUUAGAUUCAUUUAGUUAUGUUGGUAGGCUGAAGCCUAAGUUUCUUUAUUGCUUAGUUGACCUCCUUUGAGUUUGGGCCCUAAUUUAUAAUAAAACUACUUCUAGUUUCUUAUGUUAUAUUACAAGCCAAAAAGAGUCUGUUACAACUUGGAUAAUGGAAGCAGCACAGUCAGAAAAGAACAUCUUAUCCAAUGGGAAAAGUCAUGACCUCGGAGAUGAUGUGGGCAUGCCAAUGAAGACGCUACCAGAGGAUCAGGGUGAAUCUUUACACAGAAAUGGCACUGCAAUUGACAGAUUUGAUGACCCUGAUGGCGCGUUGGAGAGUGAGGAGUUUUUGGCCAGUGGAAAUGGAAAGAAACCUAUUCAAUUCACAAAUUUUGAAGGCAAGACCUCUUUUGGCAUGUCUGUCUUCAACCUGGGUAAUGCUAUUAUGGGGAGUGGAAUCCUGGGAUUGGCUUAUGCCAUGGCAAACACUGGCAUACUCCUCUUCGUGUUUCUUCUGUCUGCGGUAGCAGGCCUGUCAUCUUACUCCAUUCAUCUGAUGCUCAAAUCCUCUGGCAUUGUGGGAAUUCCUGCUUAUGAGCAGCUGGGGUACAGGGCUUUUGGCACUCCAGGAAAAAUGGCUGCUGGUAUUGCAAUCAUGCUGCAGAAUAUUGGAGCUAUGUCCAGCUACCUGUUCAUUGUGAAAUCUGAGUUUCCUCUCGUCAUCCAAGCUUUCAUGAAGGGAGAUCCCAACUCUGAUGUGUGGUACUUGAAUGGAAACUACCUGGUUAUCAUGGUCUCUGUCGGUAUCAUCCUUCCCCUGGCUUUGAUGAAGCAGCUUGGUUACCUCGGCUACACCAGUGGUUUCUCUCUCAGCUGCAUGGUGUUCUUUCUCAUCGCUGUUACCUAUAAGAAGUUUCAGAUUCCCUGCCCCUUCGAGGAGUUCUCAGCCAACAGCACCUCUGCGCUCCACAGCCUGAACUUAUCAAGCCACAGCGACGAGAACAACGACCUAGUUCAUGAGGACGACGAUUCCCAAUGCGUCCCCCGCCUGAUCACCAUCAACUCACAAACAGCAUACACCAUCCCCAUCAUGGCUUUUGCCUUUUCUUGCCACCCUGAGGUCCUGCCUAUCUACACUGAGCUCAGGAAUCCAUCAAAGAAGAGGAUGCAGGGGGUGUCCAACAUCUCCAUCCUUAUCAUGUACACCAUGUACUUGCUGGCAGCUCUCUUUGGCUACCUGACCUUUUAUGACAAGGUGGAGCCUGAACUGCUGCACACUUAUAACCGGAUUGAUCCUUAUGACACGUUGAUCCUUUGUGUGCGAGUGGCUGUCCUUAUCGCUGUCACACUGACUGUCCCUAUUUUGUUAUUCCCUGUGCGUAGAGCCAUCAUGCAGAUGUUAUUCCCCAUCUUGUCUUUCAGCUGGUUGCGUCACAUUGGAAUUGCUCUUGUUCUGCUCACUUUAAUGAACAUGAUGGUGAUAUUUGCUCCCAACAUUCUGGGCAUCUUCGGCAUUAUUGGUGCAACAUCAUCUCCCUGCCUCAUUUUCAUCUUUCCUGCUGUCUUCUACCUCCGCAUUGUUCCCAAGGAGGAUGAACCCAUGACCUCCUUUCCUAAGAUAGUGGCUCUCUGUUUUGCUGUCUUGGGCAUCUCCUUCAUGAUUAUGAGUCUGAGCUUCAUAAUAAUGGACUGGACAACGGGGAGCAGCAACACCCAUGGAGGCCACUAGAUCCUGCUUCAAUUCGUUCCUGAUACAUCCUCCUAUCAGUACGAUGAGUCCUCAGGCUACUAUUACGAUCCUCAGACUGGUCUCUACUAUGACCCAAAUACACAUUAUUACUACAACUCUCAGACUCAGCAGUAUCUAUACUGGGACAGUGAGAAACAGACAUAUGUCCCUGCCUCAGUCGACGCAAAUAACGCAACAAGCAGUUCUGCAACAAUGGGCAGCAAAGAACAUAAAGAAGGCAAAGAGAAAAAGGAAAAGCCCAAGAGCAAGACUGCUCAGCAGAUAGCUAAAGACAUGGAGCGGUGGGCUAAAAGUCUCAAUAAGCAGAAGGAGAACUUCAAGAGUAGCUUUCAACCUAUUAGUCAAGAAGAGAGGAGGGAGGCAGCAGCUGCUGAUGCUGGUUACACUUUGUUUGAAAAGAAGCAGGCAGGAGGACUAGACAGAUUCAUGCCAGAGGUGCUAAAUAGCCCUGAAGAGGAGGCACUGACCAGCUCAGUCAACACUUCCAAGUGUGGCCUUGUGGCAGCCUACAGUGGAGACAGUGACCCUGAAGAGGGAGUAGCAGAGCCUGAUUGUGGUGAGGAAGGCCAGGACAAGAUGACAGACUGGAAAAAGUUGGCCUGCUUGCUGUGUAGGAGACAGUUCCCCAAUAAAGAGGGUCUACUUUGACAUCAGCAACUCUCUGACCUCCACAAGAAAAACCUGGAGGUUCCCCGCAGAUCCCAAAUGAGUGAAGCAGAGCUUUAGAGAUAAAGAUUUAGGGAUGACUUCAAAAAGAUAUUUGUGGUUUUCCUCCUCAGGCACAGUUGAGAACAAAGGGAGCUGGUCUCGGCACUAAAGGCACCAACUACACCCUCUCUGCCUCUGACACGUACAAAGACGCAGUCCGUAAAGCCAUGUUUGCUCGCUUCACUGAACUGGAGUGAGUGGUCUGCAGAUGAAACGCUGCUUUUUGGGUGGACUCAUUAUCAGGUGGUGAGGUUGCGCUCAACCAUGUCAGACAUAUGCACAGUAAAUUUCCUUUCCUUGUUUACAUAUUUGUUUUAUAUUUCUACUGUGGUAACGGUUUCUUUUUUCCCAGCAUGUUAGAAAAAAAUUGUACAGUUUUACAAAAAAAUGUCUGUAUAGAAAAUAAAUGACAGAAGU